GGGGAAUAUUGCGCAAUGGGCGCAAGCCUGACGCAGCGACGCCGCGUGAGCGAUGAAGGCCUUCGGGUUGUAAAGCUCUGUCAGAGAGGAAGAUCGUGACGGUACCCUCAGAGGAAGCCCCGGCUAACUACGUGCCAGCAGCCGCGGUAAGACGUAGGGGGCGAGCGUUGUCCGGAAUUACUGGGCGUAAAGGGCGUGUAGGCGGCCAGGCAAGUCAGUGGUGAAAAACCUGGGCUCAACCGAGGUAUUGCCGUUGAAACUGUCUGGCUUGAGGGUAGAAGAGGAGUGUGGAAUUCCCGGUGUAGCGGUGAAAUGCGUAGAGAUCGGGAGGAACACCAGUGGCGAAGGCGGCACUCUGGUCUAUACCUGACGCUGAGGCGCGAAAGCCAGGGGAGCAAAC
rnacentral:rRNA from 1 species